CGUAGGCGGUUUGUCGCGUCUGCUGUGAAAACCCGAGGCUCAACCUCGGGCCUGCAGUGGGUACGGGCAGACUAGAGUGCGGUAGGGGAGACUGGAAUUCCUGGUGUAGCGGUGGAAUGCGCAGAUAUCAGGAGGAACACCGAUGGCGAAGGCAGGUCUCUGGGCCGCAACUGACGCUGAGGAGCGAAAGCAUGGGGAGCGAACAGGAUUAGAUACCCUGGUAGUCCAUGCCGUAAACGUUGGGCACUAGGUGUGGGGCUCAUUCCACGAGUUCCGUGCCGCAGCAAACGCAUUAAGUGCCCCGCCUGGGGAGUACGGCCGCAAGGCUAAAACUCAAAGGAAUUGACGGGGGCCCGCACAAGCGGCGGAGCAUGCGGAUUAAUUCGAUGCAACGCGAAGAACCUUACCAAGGCUUGACAUAUACCGAAAACUCAUGGAGACAUGGGGUCCGCAAGGGCGGUAUACAGGUGGUGCAUGGUUGUCGUCAGCUCGUGUCGUGAGAUGUUGGGUUAAGUCCCGCAACGAGCGCAACCCUCGUCCUAUGUUGCCAGCACGUCAUGGUGGGGACUCAUAGGAGACUGCCGGGGUCAACUCGGAGGAAGGUGGGGAUGACGUCAAAUCAUCAUGCCCCUUAUGUCUUGGGCUUCACGCAUGCUACAAUGGCCGGUACAAAGGGCUGCGAUACCGCGAGGUGGAGCGAAUCCCAAAAAGCCGGUCUCAGUUCGGAUUGGGGUCUGCAACUCGACCCCAUGAAGUCGGAG
rnacentral:rRNA from 1 species